rnacentral:lncRNA from 1 species
UGGGGAAACUUAGAGCUUUCACUGGUAACAAAUAGCCUGCUGGACACACUCACUCCUGCCCCAUGGAAUUUCCCCAGACAGAGUUUUGGGAACUGAACUGAAAGCAUAAAAGUGGGAGCACUUGGUGAAGUCUGAGGCCGCAGCGGCAGAAGGCAUAGACAUGCAGGACGGGAUUGACCCUGAGUCCAAGAGUGUCUGAGGCAGACUCUUUCAUACUGGGACACUGUUACAGGCUUGACUAACAAGUGUGUUCACUUUGACAGGUGGCCCUUCCCCGGGCGGCGGUGCCCCGUGGCACCUUCGAAAUGUCCUUAGCGAUUCAGUGGAGAGCUCAGAUGAUGAAUUCUUUGAUGCUAGAGAGGAGAUGGCAGAAGGGAAGAAUGCCAUCCUCAUCGGAAUGAGCCAGUGGAAUUCAAAUGACCUGGCGGAACAGAUUGAGACCAUGGGGAAGCUAGAUGAGCAUCAAGGUGAGAUUCAGCCUCUCUCAUGACCAGGGUGUGCACAUAGCUGUGUUAUAGAGUGGAGGUAGGGCUGCCAACUGGGGCUUGGACUUGAGUGUUCUAUGAAGAGUCAUCUGUCUGGUUGUCUUCCUUCACAGCAUCCCU